rnacentral:lncRNA from 1 species
AUGCAUUACUGUAAAAAUGUUAAAAUUAUACAAGUAUGUAUUGUCUUGCUUUUGCCAUGUUUAGAUACUUCCUGUUGGGAGAUAAUGUUUGAAUUCUUGUGUUUUCCAUCACCUUUUGAAGCCAAGUUACAUUGCUUUGAUUACAGAUUCUCAACGUUCUCUCCUCAGCAUCAUCUCUUCCAGGUUAUGCUGGAGCAGACAGACUUUAUUACAAGACUAAAAAGUAGUUCUGAGUAUCAGCUGGAGGAAAAAUGCCUGUUUGCUACAAAUACAUGAGAUGGAAAACAAGUUUCCCCCUAAUCGUAGAAGUACAAUGCAGAUAAGGAAGCUCAGUGAUGUGGAAACUGAUCUGUCGAAGAUAGAGGCAAGGAAUAUUUUUUUAUCCAGCAAACCCUAUUUCUUCAUUCAGACCUCAGAUGUAAAGAAAUCUCAAAGGCUACGUUGUACUGUUGUGGUUUCAAGUUACACAGGUAUAUUGUAGCCAAAUAUUAAAAAUAAAAUAAAAUAAAUCUAAAUUAAUGCA